CCCCCAAAUUGCUGGGAUUACAGGCGUGAGUCACCGUGCCCAGCCUGGAUGAGGGUCUUUAGCAAAGAUGGAAGUUUUGGUACCUUGCAGUUUAGUCUCUUCAUUUAUGUCCUCCUGAAAUCUUCAGGAAUAGCACUAUUUUGUCAAUACUUCUGGGGUCGUACUUAGGGGGACUUAAAGGAGAUGUGAUGUGGCAGCCUUUGACUCAAGGGAGCAUCAUACUAGCUCAAAGAGAUCUGGGUACAUGCCAGUUGAACCAACUCUUCUGAGGAUGUGAUAGAUCCUGGGAGGCCACUCUGAUCCCGCCAACCUUGAGGCCAGAUGAGUCUUUGAAAAACAUGGUUUGGCUUAACACCAGCACUUAGUGGUGUUAAUACCCACCAUGAAUCUUGCUAAACUGAAGCUAUACAGAUACCUUUUCAAAAGAUUUUUUUUCAUUCCAGAUCCUUCUUAGAAAUUCCUAAGGCUCAAUGCUGUGUGGAAGGUUCUGAGAAAGAAAAUAGUUUCCGAUCUUUGGGAUUCCCGAGAUGGUCCAAUCUGCAAAAAGUUCAUUGCCAUUUCCAUCAAGGACACUGAGAACAAGAGUCUUAUCUGGAUUGGAUGCUGGGAAUUGAGAAGCUUCAGCAGGGCUUCCGCUGGGACUAGGAUCAGGAUGUGGACACCCCCAACCUGGACCGUCUGGCCGGGGAGGGCGUCAAGGCCAAGUACCUCAUGCCGCCCCUUGUCACAAUGACCUCCCCUUCCCACUUCACUGCCAUCCCAGAAUCCCAGUGGCCACUAAAAUAGAGGGAUUCCAACCCAAAAAGGAGAAAGAGGAGGCUGCUGGAAAGCAAAGGACUCUGUGUAAGAAUCAUAAUAGCGGGGGUGGAGCCAAGAUGGCCAAACAGGAACAGCUCCAGUCUACAACUCCUGGCGUGAGCGACGCAGAA
rnacentral:lncRNA from 1 species